CAUAGCAUAGCAUAGUUUAAUUAUAUAGCACGUUUAAAAUACAGCAUGGGAGCUGCCCAAAGUGCUGCACAGGCUAAAACAAAACACAACCAUUACAAGGAGCUAAAACAAAGGAUAAAACUCUCAAUCAAAGGCAGAUAAAACAUGAUGAAUACUAAAAACACAUUAAAACAAUGAUACAAUGAAACACUAAAACAAGUCACUGUCUAAAAGCCAAAGUGUAAAAGUGGGUCUUUAAACGAGAUUUAAAAACCGCCAGAGAUGGAGCCUGCCGAACUCCAAUGGGCAAUGAGUUUCAUAGCUUUGGGGCAGCAUGCACAAAUGCUCGAUCCCCCCGCGAUUUAAGUCUCAUCCGCGGUGUGUACAGCAGCAAAAGGUCAGCCGACCUCAACGUGCGGGUGGGCACAUAUGGAGUGAGAAGGGCAGAGAGGUAGGGAGGUGCGAGAUCAUUGAGUGCUUUAAAAACAAAAGUCAGUAACUUAAACUACACUCUGAAAAUGACUGGGAGGCAGUGAAGAUGUUCCAGGACAGGGGUAAUGUGGCUACGUCAGUGUGUACCCAUCAAGAACCUGGCAGCAGCGUUCUGAACAACCUGCAGCCGAUUCAGGGCAGAGUCCGGAACACCACCGAGGAGGGCGUUUGCAUAGUACAGGCGAGAGGUAAUGAAGGCAUAAAUGACUGACUCCAAAUGCCUCAGUUUCAGGAUUCGUCGUAGGGCAUGCUGUGAUCUGUGGGGGAAACCGGAGUACCCGGAGGAAACCCACGCAUGCAUGGGGAGAACACGCAACUCCCUGCAGAAAGACCGCAGCAGUUUUGAACCGCCAACCUUCGUGCUGCGAGGCAACAGUGCCAACCACUGCGCCACCAUGCAUCUAAAUAGCAUCAAGCCAGACUACAGAGAUGAGUUUGUUAAUGAGUGAUCUGAGAUGUGAGCAGCCGCUUCACAUAAAGGUAGCUAAUUCACAGUGAUCGUCAUUGGCACCUGGUAUGUACAGACUAAGGCUUUUGAUUAUCAGACUGAAUCGUUGAAGCGGAUUUCCUUGCUUUUUAUUGGCAUUUGCUUUGAUGUGGUCAAAAGUGCUUUUGUAUAAAGUUCUCAUUGUUUGUAUUUGUCCUUGAAGCUGUGGUUGGCUUACAGCAUUCUUUAAAGAAUAAAGUCUGGGCCCAGCUGUAUUGAAUCAA